rnacentral:lncRNA from 1 species
AGGCUGGCCGCCAGAGGCACUAAGGCGGCCGCCUAGUUCCAGCAGCUAAGCCGGCCUGGGGUUGCCUAGUUACUGCCCAGAGAACAAGGAAGAGGUUCUAAAUGCAGGCAGACGCUCUGGCAAUCUUCGUCAAACUCUGUGGUGGCGUUGGCGUCCUAGAGCUCCGGAGUUGCUUACCCUUCCUGUAAGGGCAAUCGGACCCUUUCCGGUGAGGGAACCUCUCUCCAGACAUGAUCAAGAGAAACUGGCGAGGGACUGACAUGAUCUAGCUUACCUUGGGUCACCGAACGGAUUUGGCAUGUGACAUAAUUAUCCCAGCGAUCACUAAAACUGUAAAUUUGGAUGCAAUUAAGAGAGAAAACUCCACACAUUUAUGGAAAUUUAAGUGAUGGAAUGUAAUCCAGAAUGUACUUUUUUAUUUCUGAAAUCUCUGUAAAACAGUACAAUGGAAAAAUGAAAACGAAAGACAUAAUUGAGGAAAUCCAACAUCCCACAAAAAGGAAUUCUAGAAAGAGGAGGCUUCGUGUAUACCAGCUGGCCUUGAGUUCACCCUGUAGCUCACUUCCUGAUCUCCAGACUUUCCCUCCAAGUGCUGAUAUUCGAGUCCAGUGGCACUAAACGUGUGGAGUAGUUUUAAUCAAAAUGUGUUCUUUGUGCUUAUUAUCUUACAGUUUUUCUAUAAUAUUCUAAUAGUAUAAAAAAGAUCUCAAGAUUUGCCACAUCUUAGGCUAUCUUUGUUCUAUUAAAUUGUAACAAUGAAAAAAAAUGUCCGUUUUGAGACACAGAUAUGCUUCUGUGAGAGGCUUGCUAAGGCUAGGAACACAGUGGAAGCUAAAACUGUAUUGAAGAACUACCCAGAGAAGAAACACUUGAUGCAAUUUUUGACUCCUAAGCACAACACCAACUAUUGUGGGUGUCACAUAAUUUCUUACUCUUAUGCACUGUAUGAAGUUAAAAGCCAGUUUAAAAUUAUCACUAGUAAAUCUGUAAAAAAUAUUUUAUUAAAAUUCUCAACCAUAGUAUUUUCUUGUCUGAUAAAAUAGGAAGAUAUGACUAUUAUGGAAAUAUCAAUCAGAACUCUUGUGAUGAAGUUGUAUGAUUAACAACUUAUAGUUUCAUGAAACACAUUGUUAUUCAUUGAAUGGCUGGUUGGUAAACCAUGGUUAUUCUAAAUUAGGUAUCUAGUCAGACAGAAAAUGAUUAAAUAUCACCUGCCACUU